AUAACAUAUACAUUCAGAGGGUAACAUAAAGUCUUCAACAAUAGAUAGCUGUCUGUCUAAAGGGGGUCUCAUUGGAGGGUUCCGAUAUGGGAUCCCGCUUACUGUUUUGUCAGAUUCCCGUAUCCUGCUUACACUAUGUACGUAAGCAAUUCUCAUUUUUUUGUCAUUUCCCGGGUCCCACUAGACCUCAUUUGCCAAUUUCACGACACAAUAAUUUGACUACAAGUGUCACGCUUACAAAAAAUUGGCAAUCCCGUGUCAUGCUUAGACCCCAAUGAGACCCACUCUAAAUAACAUACCAAGCUCUUAAUUGCUCAUAUUCUUCAAAAAGUGUAAAUAAAUUUAGAAACAUUUGGGUGUUUGGAUAACCCC
rnacentral:lncRNA from 1 species